GUCGGAAUAGUUUAAUUGGUAAAACAGUUUCCUUGUAAGAAUCAGUAGGUGGUUCGAGUCCAUCUUUCGAUA